CAAGGGGGUAAUUCCCACCGGGGGGGCAGGUGAAGUUCUCAGCAUCCGUUCUGGAUACCGCUGCAGGCUGCUGCAAUACAACUUUCAGCCACCAGUGGAAGCACUGAGCACCUCGUUGCUAAGCAGCACCGAACUAAAGAAGAAAAACAAAAAAAAAUACGCGCCAAUUUGACCUGCGUUCUAAAAGAGAAUGCGCAGUGACUCCAUGGAACAUUCGACGGUUAGUAAAGUUAGCAACCGCACACUGAGGUUAAUCUUACCUUAUGUGUUAUAGGAAGUCUAUAAGGGAUCCUGGGAAAUGAUGAUGAAUUAAACAGUGCUGCAUCUGUCUCUGUGUCAUCUGACGGGAAGGAGCCCCUUUUCCCUGCCUGAUGGCUUUAAGGAGGACAGAAACAACUGCUGAGCUGGAAAAGGCGGAUGCUUGCAGACGGAGACACAAGCGGUGGGCCAGCCUGCUGCAGGCAGGAGGAACAGGAGGUAGCUUGUCUGAACGCAGGUGGACUGACGAUACUCCUCCACCCUAUCCCACCCCACACGAAAGCAACCCGCUCCACCAUCACACAACACUACCAACGCUCCCUGCAUCUUCUGGCACCCGAACGGUCACACCAUCGUCUCAUCAUCACAAGCAGAGGUGUGAGGGGAUGCAGCAAUAUGUCCAGGAAGAACACAUACAUCCAUCCUCUUUCAGCCUCACUGUCACAGUCAACAGUUGGCAGUCUGUGCCACUUGGCUGUCCCUGCCGUGUCCCACAAUGAGAUUAUUUGACAAUUAAAAUAAGACUCCGUGCCUGACAAAUAGGAUCUUAUCAACAAGGUGAUGAUAAAAAAGUGCAUGAUGUGCCCACUGUGGAAAAUAUAGUAAUUAUGAUAAAUUAGUUAAAUCCCAAACAACAUUUUAACCACAGUAAUUAACUAGAAUCAAGAGUUAAAUUACUUCUAAUGAUUCAUUUCAGGUUAAGAGCAUUUUCAUUCAUUUUCUGUAUAGAGCCAAGAAGUACACUACAAUCAAGGUUAUGAUUUCAAAGAUAUUUUUGUUUUUUGUUGUCACUGCAUUUAGAGAAUAAUAUUUAAAAAAAUAAAUAUAUAUAUAUUUGUUUUGGGAUCUAGGAAAGAGUUGAAAGUGGUGCAUAUAUGCUGCUGACCUUUUCUGGUCCGUCAGUAGAGGGCGGUCUAUCCUCAGUGGUCCAACUACUGUGUGUGUGUGUGUGUGUGUGUGUGUGUGUGUGUUUAGUUAAAUUCCCAACACAGUGGUUGUUUUCUUGCGCUCUAAUUACACAAAAGCACACCGGCUACCUCUUUCUUUCUCUGUCUUCCACUUUUUUUUGGGGACAAGUGAUUGUUUGGGCAUGUGGCCUUUGUAUAAUAUCUGUGUGUAGCCCUUUCCGUCACUGCCUCUUUUAAGUUCUGGAAAUUUACCCAGUAAACAAUCCAUGGUAUAACCAAAAUUACCCAGUAAUUGCAGCUGUAAUUAAAUAACUGUUAUAAAUACUUGAAAAGAAAAAAACAAUUCAGAGUUCCGAUGUCUGUUCUGUCUUGUGAACUUUUAGUUUUAUAAAAAGUAACUUAAUAUUGAUAUGUGAUCUGCAGUAGUUUGCCUAUAAAGAGAAAUGACUUCUCUUUAUAAGCAUAAGCAUCUGCUGUAGUUUUGUAUUUAGGGAUUUAGCUGACUUUGUUACUUGUGUGGAGAACAUAUGGAUGGGUGCAAGGUGUGCUUGCAGUGGCUAUUUAUAGCAAAUUAGCCUUUUACAGAAGUUUUUCUCCAGGUUGUAGUAAUACUAUAUAUUAAGUACAGUGAACAUGUAGAAAUUUAAAUGCAUUUUUAAAUGUAGACCACUAACCUCUCCCUUUUCUUCAGUGCAGUUUGAUCAAGCAGCACUUAUUCUGUUUGUUGUGAUAAGUAUUAUAGAGGAGGUAGCUUUUAGAUUUGAAAAUGAUUUGAUAGGAAUCUAUUGCUGACCAGAAAGUUAUUGCUUCUUUACAGUUCAUUUUCCAUUUUUUAUUGGUACAUUAUUGUAAUGUGGUGCGUUAUACCUUUGCUGAAGAACAACAAGCAAAUUGUCAAGCAAUUUCAUUUUAGGGAGAUUGCACCUUUGCGGAAAUUAUACAGACCUGUCUUUUACAGUCUCAUCUUUGAAUAGUUUCUUCUGAAAAUGCCCCAUAGAAGACUGGCCACAUCAUAACCGGAUAGGUAUUUUGUCCAUAACAUGGAUCUCAACAAUUAUUCCAUGGAUUAACAGGAACAAUAACUAAUUGUCUAAGAAACUUUAUUGCUAUCCCUGGGAGUUAUAAUGUUAAAUUCAGGUUUUAUGUUAAAAUACCAAACCUGUAAGAAUUAUAAUGUAGUUACUUAAAGAGAAAGUCUUCUAUUGAUGUCUCGUAUUCACCUACCUAAUUACACUGCUAAUUAUAUAAUUUUCUAUUGUUGCCAUGUAUUUAGCUGAUAAACAGUUGUGUUACACAGUGUAUAUAUUUAUAUUUAUAUUUAUCAAAUCGCCCAAGCACCAGGUAUUAGUUGUACGUUAGACCAAUCUGUGUACAUUCUUCUAGAGGAGUGGGGUUCUGGGAACUGUGCAUGACAUUGCGCUAGUCACCCUUUCCCAUAGUUCACUAGGGUUCACUCACCAUGACUCUGAAUCAUACAAUGAUAUGUAAAGCAGGUUUUUCUGCAGACUCUGUCAGACAUCAGUCAUUACUCUCAGACAUCAAUAAUAUUACCCUUAUUGUGAGCACAUCACACCUCUAUUAUGCCUUUAUGACAGUGUAUUAACUUACCCUUAUUGGACCCCAGACACUGGUGUUUAUAUUAAAUAUGGUAAACUGAUAUAUCUUCAUAAGAUGCAGGUAUUCAGCUGUAGAGUGGAUGAACUCUUCUAUCUAUAUAUAGCUUUAUGUUAUACAUAUUGAGAUUUUGAGUUGAUGCAUUCUUGCAGGUGCUAUUUGUUUUAACAAGAAAGCCUAAAAUGUUGUGAAAUAUAUAUUAUAUCCUACUUUUCCAUCUUCUUUGUGAAACAUAUUAGCCUGUAUCUGACACUGUGGUUCAUUUGUGGUAAAUGCUCUUAUUCCUGGAGGCAUAAUGGCUGCAAGUAUUCUGCACUCUGUGUUAUAGCAGACUAGUUCUGUGUUUAUACACGUACAGGUAUUCUGAUGGGUCUAUGGGAACAUGCUCAGGAUGAGGGAGAUGUAAGAUCAGAGUCUGAGAAGCAUGUUCAGAUUGCCUUCAAUUAGUGUGGUCCAGGAGAGACGAGGGGAAAAAUUGGAUAUAGAUUGGCACUCCACUGGACAAGGGAGACAGCACAAGAUGGAGAGUGUGUGAGGGAGGGAGAGUGAGGUUAAUGACAGUGUGCUCACAGGCAGGUAAUCUCUCUCCCUCUCUCUCUCUCUGGGUAUAAUCACUUUCCUCUCUCUUCCAGCAGUCAUGAUAAUUAUUAUAACAAUUAGCUUCCUUCUCUCUCCGCCACAUUGAACUGUCCCAAUGCUGCCUGGACUACAGUGUUUCUACCUUUUUCAGUACCCAUCCAUCCUCUCCUCAGCCAGGUGUUACUCUCCAUUAUCUCAUUAUCCUUUCACACUUAGUCAGUAUAAGUCAAUUCCUUAAUGUGCAGUUCAAUCGGAAAACACACAAUCCUUGUAUAUCAUAUACAAUCCAGGAAGGGGAUAGAGGUUGAGAAAAAAAAAGCUGUGUGCAACAUCAUGUGUUAUAGACGUGUCUAUCUUUAACAGGUUAAAACAGUAGUUUGUCAUUUUGUGGAAAUGCGCUUAUUUGCUUUCUGUCACAGAAUUAGAUGAGAAAAUCAGUGCGGUUGUCAUAUAUGUACGGAAAAUAUUUUUCGGCUAUAAAUAGUUUCCAGGCAAUCACUGGAGACGCCAGCAGCCUGUUGGAUCACCUGUGUGUAAGUUAUAGUCUAGUUAUACCAAAAAAAUUAUUAAGUUGUGAUUCAUGUAUUACUAAAAUAAAAGCGGUUGUGCCACGGAGACAAGUUGCAACAUAACUCUAUUAUUACAAUUAAGUAGUUACACAUGCCCCAUGGCUAGCUGUAAAUCAUAAAAUGUCACAGAAUCAUACCAUUUUGAUACACAGUAAUCCAGUGGAGACUUAAUUUAUAUAUAUUUCAAUAUCAAUCUAGCUUACUACAAUGUGCUAAGACGCUAGUGGCUCAUGCUUGCCCAAGUUAUAACUUUAUUUACAAACUUACGAACUUAUACCCCAAGUAAUCAUGGUGCA
rnacentral:lncRNA from 15 species